rnacentral:rRNA from 1 species
GAAGUUGACGGGGGCCCGCACAAGCGGAGGAACAUGUGGUUAAUUCGAUGAUACGCGAGGAACCUUACCUGGGCUUAAAUGGGGAGUGACAGCUGUCGAAAGAUGGUUUUCUUCGGACACUCUUCAAGGUGCUGCAUGGUUGUCGCCAGCUCGUGCCGUGAGGUGUCGGGUUAAGUCCCAUAACGAGCGCAACCCUUACCGUUAGUUACCAUCAGGUUAAGCUGGGGACUCUAGCGGGACUGCCACCGUAAGGUGAGAGGAAGUGGGGAUGACGUCAAAUCAGCACGGCCCUUAUGUCCAGGGCUACACACGUGUUACAAUGGCCAGUACAAAGGGCAGCUACCGGGUGACCGGAUGCUAAUCUCUAAAGCUGGUCUCAGUUCGGAUCGGAGUCUGCAACUCGACUCCGUGAAGCUGGAUUCGCUAGUAAUCGCGCAUCAGCCACGGCGCGGUGAAUACGUUCCCGGGCCUU